rnacentral:rRNA from 1 species
UACGAAGGGGGCUAGCGUUGCUCGGAAUGACUGGGCGUAAAGGGCGCGUAGGCGGAUGGCAUAGUCAGAUGUGAAAUUCCCGGGCUUAACCUGGGGACUGCAUUUGAUACGUGUCGUCUUGAGUUCGGAAGAGGGUCGUGGAAUUCCCAGUGUAGAGGUGAAAUGCGCAGAUAUCAGGAGGAACACCGGUGGCGAAGGCGGGUCUCUGGGCCAAUACUGACGCUGAGGAGCGAAAGCGUGGGGAGCGAACAGG